GAUGAACGCUGGCGGCGUGCCUAAUACAUGCAAGUCGAGCGGUAAGGCCCUUUCGGGGGUACACGAGCGGCGGACGGCUGAGUAACACGUAGGAACGUACCCCAAAGUGAGGGAUAAGCACCAGAAAUGGUGUCUAAUACCGCAUGUGCUCUAAGGAGUAAAGCUUCGGCGCUUUGGGAACGGCCUGCGUCCGAUUAGCUAGUUGGUAAGGUAAAAGCUUACCAAGGCGACGAUCGGUAGCUGGUCUGAGAGGAUGAUCAGCCAGACUGGGACUGAGACACGGCCCAGACUCCUACGGGAGGCAGCAGUAGGGAAUUUUCCACAAUGGGCGAAAGCCUGAUGGAGCAACGCCGCGUGCAGGAUGAAUGCCUUCGGGUUGUAAACUGCUUUUAUCUGUGACGAUUAUGACGGUAGCAGAUGAAUAAGGAUCGGCUAACUCCGUGCCAGCCGCCGCGGUAA
rnacentral:rRNA from 1 species